rnacentral:rRNA from 1 species
AACAGGAUUAGAUACCCUGGUAGUCCACGCCGUAAACGAUGAGUGCUAAGUGUUAGAGGGUUUCCGCCCUUUAGUGCUGCAGCAAACGCAUUAAGCACUCCGCCUGGGGAGUACGGCCGCAAGGCUGAAACUCAAAGGAAUUGACGGGGGCCCGCACAAGCGGUGGAGCAUGUGGUUUAAUUCGAAGCAACGCGAAGAACCUUACCAGGUCUUGACAUCUCCUGACAAUCCUAGAGAUAGGACGUUCCCCUUCGGGGGACAGGAUGACAGGUGGUGCAUGGUUGUCGUCAGCUCGUGUCGUGAGAUGUUGGGUUAAGUCCCGCAACGAGCGCAACCCUUGAUCUUAGUUGCCAGCAUUUAGUUGGGCACUCUAAGGUGACUGCCGGUGACAAACCGGAGGAAGGUGGGGAUGACGUCAAAUCAUCAUGCCCCUUAUGACCUGGGCUACACACGUGCUACAAUGGAUGGUACAAAGGGCAGCAAAACCGCGAGGUCGAGCCAAUCCCAUAAAACCAUUCUCAGUUCGGAUUGUAGGCUGCAACUCGCCUACAUGAAGCUGGAAUCGCUAGUAAUCGCUGAUCAGCAUGCUGCGGUGAAUACGUUCCCGGGCCUUGUACACACCGCCCGUCACACCAUGGGAGUUGGUUUUACCCGAAGGCGCUGCGCUAACCGCAAGGGGGCAGGCGACCACGGUAGGGUCAGCGACUGGGGUGAAGUCGUAACAAGGUAACC